CUCAUUUUGCCCUAAUACUGAGGUAAAACCCUUCUGGGAUCUGAGUUGAUACUACAUGAAUUAUGAAAUUUUCUAUUGCCUCUGUUGGGAUCAGGAACUACCCAGCCUUGCAUGAGCUCUGGAAAUUGUUCCCUUUAAUCCUUUUGGUUGGUUCUUUCCCUGGCCUGGGGUUGUUUGCUUGCAUGCACACGCUCAGCUGAAGACUUAAGGGAGCCCUCUGCACGUCUCAGGGCACUAUUUGCAUGGCCUUCUGCUGCCUGUGCUCCAUCCUUCACACUCUAGCCACAUUGGCACCCCUCCUUCCCAGCUCCAUCUCUUGAAGGUCAAUGGACUCCCUUUGCCGGAGUGUUCCUGUGCCAAUGCCUGGAAGGUUUCUCCAGGCAGUCAGCUGAGCAAUUAUAGGACACACUUCAUCUCUUUCCCACAGCAUGGGGAUCGCUGUCCUUCAAGACCUCAUGGCCAGUGUCUGGAACACCAUUGCUUUAUGGAUUUUGAGUGUUUUCGGAGUCAUUUCAGCUUCCACUUCCUGGGCUCAAGUGAUCCUCCUACCUCAGCCUCGCAAGUAGUUGGGACUAUAGGCGUGCACCACCACGCCUGGCUACAUUUUUUAUUUUUUGUAGAGGUAGAGUCUCACUAUGUUGUCUCAAACUUUUGGCCUUAAGUGAUCCUCCCACCUCAGCCUCCCAAAGUAUGUGAGCCACUGUGCCCAGCCACCUAAUACAAAAGCUUUCCUUAUCAGCCAAUACUGGUCUGACUUACUGGGUUUUUUUUGGUUGUUGUUUUUGUUUGUUUGUUUGUUUGUUUUGAGAUGGAGUCUCCCUCUGUUGCUCAGGCUGGAGUGCAAUGGUGCAAUCUGAGCGUAAUGUAACCUCUGCCUGCCGGGUUCAAGCAAUUCUUCUGCCUCAGCCUCCCGAGUAGCUGGAAUAAUGGGUGCGUGCCACCACAACUGUCUAACUUUUGUAUUUUUGGUGGAGACGGGGUUUUGCCAUGUUGGCCAGGCUGGUCUCGAACUCCUGGCCUCAAGUGAUCCACCCGCCUCGACCUCCCAAAGUGCUGGAUUACAGGCGUGAGUCACUGUGCCCGGCCACUUAAUACGAAAGCUUUCCUUAUCAGCCAAUACUGGUCUGCCUUACUCUUUCUAUGUUGCUGAGCUUUCUGUAGAAUGGGUGUUCUAUAUUUUGUUUAGCUGUCUCUUACUUGGGGAUAUUUGGUCAGUUCUACUUUUUCACUGCUUGCAGUCAAUACAGCAAUGAACGCGGUUCUGCAUGUGUUUUUAGCACACGUGCAUGUGUCUGCAGGUAGAUUUCCUGAAAGAUUAUUCGAUCACUGGAUGCCAACCAGGGCCAGUGCUCUAAACACCAAAAAGAUUUCUUCUGAAAUUGAAAGUGAAAAACAAAAUGCUUUGCUAUAAAUUACAUUUUAGGUUUCGAAGGGUACAAAUUGAUAGCUGGGCAUGGUGGCAGGCGCCUGUAGUCCCAGCUACUGGGAAGGCUGAGGCAGGAGAAUCACUUAAACCUGGGAGGCACAGGUUCCAGUGAGCUGAGAUUGCGCCACUGCACUCCAGCCUGGGUGACAGAGCAAGUCUCUGUCUCAAAAAAAAAAAAAAAAAAAAAUGAGGAUACAGAUUGAGAUGGAUGCUGAAUUGUAAGCAGAGCAGGUUCUUUCUGGGUUUUCUCUGUCUCUUUGUGUGUAUGUGUGUGUGUGCCUGCAUUUCCCCGUUUCCUAAGCACUGCUUAGAGCCACGUCCAGUCACAAAUUUUGGCUUCGAGGAAGGCAAAGGUUAGACAAGAUUCCUGCCUGCACCAGCAAGGGUGCACCAGUGGGAGCGCCCUGUUGUCUUGAGUGGCACUGGCGGCCCAUUUGAUCUGAGGGAUUCUCCUUUCUUCCCCUCCUCCGCCUCCAUGGGUAUCCCAUGUUGCCUCCAGCUUGCGGGGAUCUGGGGCUAGGUGAACAGGGACGAGGGAGGCUGUGUAGCUCCUCCUGGGCUGGUUGGAGGGUGCUGAGUGCCCACUGCAGGCAGGCCCUGAGUUGGGGCCAGGUGGGGACAUGGCCGGGGGAUGACACUAUGAAGUUCUCAACUCAGGAGACUCUGCCAUGACAGGGGCUCAAAACCCAACAGAUGCCAUUGCUGCCGCUACCACCUUCUAUGCUGAGCCCUUAGGAAACAUUUCUCUAAGCACAGCCGGUCCCCUGAGUCAAACGUCAGCAAAUUAAAUUUGCACCAUCCUAUUGUGCGGUUCUCGCUGAGGGGUUUCCUCUCCCCCUCCCGCGCCGGGUUGAGCUCUCCAAGGUCGGAGUUUGUGUCUC
ensembl:lncRNA